AAAAUUUUAGGUUAAUAAAACCUUUAACCUUCAAAGUUAAAAAUUAGAAUUUCUAAAAUUUUA
rnacentral:tRNA from 1 species